AAGGAGGCGGUGCCGGGGAAGCCGCGGCCUCGAUCGGCAGCUGCGACCGGCCACUGGGCCAACAGCCGCCGCCAAGAUGAUCUCCCCGCGGGAACGAGGCGGGGAGAUGGCCCGAUUCUACACGGUCACCGAGCCCAAACGCCAUCCCCGGGGAUACACCCUCUAUAAGGUUACCGCGAGGAUUGUUUCACGAAAAACUCCAGAGGAUGUCCAGGAGAUAGUCGUUUGGAAGAGAUACAGUGACUUUAAGAAAUUGCACAAAGAACUCUGGCAGAUUCAUAAACACUUAUUCAGGCAUACUGAAUUGUUUCCUCCUUUUGCUAAAGCAAUAGUAUUUGGGCGAUUUGAAGAAGGCGUGAUUGAAGAGAGGAGACAGUGCGCAGAAGACUUGCUUCAGUUUUCUGCCAACAUCCCAGCGCUCUACAACAGCAAACAGCUUGAAGAUUUCUUUAAGGAUGGAGAGGUGCAUGAUGGGUCUGAACUGAUUGGCCCUGUGGAACCUCUGUUGGAUUCCCUGACAGACAGCAUUUCUACCUGCAGUUCCGAAGCUCGGAAGGAUGGUGGUGUCUUUGAUGAUGUGACCCUUAGCCAAUCAGAAUAUGGAGGUUUCUCCAGCGACAGUGACCUGAUCUCUUUGACUGUCGAUGUGGACUCUCUGGCUGAGUUAGAUGAUGGAAUGGCAUCUAACCAGAAUUCUCCCAGCCGAUCCCUCGGCCUCAGCUUUACCGCCGAACUUCCGGCGCAGGCCUCUGCCAUUUCGGACCACGAAUGGAGCAAGCCUGAUGGUGAAAGGGAGAGCCGCGGUCUGUUUACUGGGAGCUUGAAGGCCAAGCUGGGCCGGCGGGACUACCUGGACAAAGCAGGGGAGCUGAUCAAGCUGGCGUUGAAGAAGGAGGAGGAAGAAGAUUAUGAGGCUGCAUUUGGCUUUUAUAGGAAAGGAGUUGACCUGCUCCUGGAAGGGGUUCAAGGGGAGUCGAGUCCAACCCGCCGUGAAGCAGUGAAGAGGAAGACUUCAGAAUACCUGAUGAGAGCUGAAAAAAUUUCCAGCCUCUAUUGUAGACCCACAUCAGAAGAUAGUUCCACCACUGGACCUCCAGGAUCACUAAGUUCAAGGCCCUCUUGGAACCGAAGGAGCCCUGCCGAGGAACUGAAGGCCUUUAGAGUCCUUGGGGUGAUUGACAAGGUUUUACUUGUAAUGGAUACUAGAACGCAGCAGACAUUUAUAUUGAAGGGUCUCAGGAAAAGUAGCGAGUACAGCAGGAAGAGAAAGACCAUCAUCCCCCGCUGCGUGCCCAACAUGGUGGCUCUGCACAAGUACAUCAUCUCGGAGGAAUCGGUAUUCCUUGUGCUGCACCACGCAGAAGGAGGCAAACUUUGGUCUUAUAUCAGUAAGUUCUUGAACAGGAGCCCUGAAGACAGCUUUGAAGCCCCUAAAUCCAGACGAUCCAGCUCUACCAAAAUACAGUUGCGUCAGGCAACUCCUAGUCCUCCGGACGUUGGCAGUAGCAUUGAUUCCAGGGGAAGCGAUGGUGGCAACAUGCUAAAGGUUUUACCAUUGAAGACCAGUCUCACUCCAAGCUCUCAGGAUGGCAGUAGUAACCAGGAAGAUGGCCCAGAAAGUUCUCCCAAGUGGAUUGAUUCUGCGUCCAGUUCAGAGGAAGAGUGCACCACCAGUUACCUAACGUUAUGCAAUGAAUAUGGCCAAGAAAAGGUUGACCAGGGUUCAUUAAAUGAAGAGCCUAUCGUGAAAGCAGACAACGGUGUUCUCGUUACCAAAGAGCAAGGAGGCUCCCAGGCACCCAGUGUGGUUUCCAGUGGGAACUUGGGAUCCACAUUCACAUCUCAGGAAGUAAAGAUUUUUGCUGGUGACCCUGAUCCAGAAAUAGCUAGUCCUACCAGGAUAUCGGAAUCUCUAAGUCAGUCCAAGAACAGCCCCAUGGAAUUCUUCAGAAUCGACAGUAAAGAUAGUUCCAGUGAGCUUCUGGGCGUUGACUUUGGAGAUAAACUCCACAGCUUAAAAUCAGAAUCUCUGAAGCAGUUUUUCCCUGUGGCAGAUUGGGAUAAGAGCCUUGAUGCCAUCGAAAACAAAAUGGCCCCUGUGUGUCAGGAUACAAUCAGCAGGGGUUCAAAUGACUCUGUGCCAGUGAUCUCUUUUAAGGAUGUUGCCUUCGAUGACGUCGGCAGCAUUGACGAAGGAAGGCCUGACCUUUUGGUCAACUUGCCUGGCAUAACGGAGCAAACAAAAGAAAUGGUGGCAGAUGGGCCUGCAAAGCUGGCGGAGCAGAAUGGAGAUGUUUUGGAGAGCAAGCUUUUGGAAACCCCGGACGUCUUGCAACUGAAUAACAGCACAGAGCAAUGCAGAGCGCUUGAGCAAAAGGCAGACCCUUUGAUGGGAGAAGAAUCAGGAGGGCAGCGCAGGGACAACCGGGAACCGGUCAAGACACGGCAUACGGUUGUUAGUGAUUCAGCUGGUUCCGGGGACAGGACUCUCUUUCAAGGGCUUGGAGCAGCAGCGUCUUCAUCAUUCGAUGUGUUGGGCAUGGAAGAAAGCUCAUUGACUUCUAACACACAAGCAAGUGCUAAAGAAUGUAGCUUAGAUGUGGACAGUGAAGCCAUGCUGCUCUUUUUGGAUCAUGCCGAAGACUCUGGUAAAGAGGGAACAGCCCCUGCCCCUCUGCACAAAGCCGAAAGUGGGGAGUCAGGGGCACAGAGCAGAGGAGAGAAUGAAAUACACCAAAUUUUUCAGGACCUCGAUGAGAGAUUAGCACUAACCUCCAGGUUUUACCUCCCCGAGGGCUGCAUUCAAAGAUGGGCAGCUGAAAUGGUUGUAGCCCUUGAUGCCUUGCAUCGAGAAGGAAUUGUGUGCCGCGAUUUGAACCCAAACAACAUCUUAUUGAAUGAUCGAGGACACAUUCAGCUAACGUAUUUUAGCAGGUGGAGUGAGGUUGAAGAUUCCUGUGACAACGAUGCCAUAGAGAGGAUGUACUGUGCCCCAGGUUAGAGCAAUCACCUCAAAUGUUUCACUUGGAAAACAGAUUAGCAGCUUUCAUUUUCUCAUGGAGCUUUCAUCCCAUCCCACCCUCUGUUCCUUGGGAAUACAAGCUGUUCAAUAUCUGCCAGCACUUUUUUUUUUUUUAGUUUUUAUUUUUAAUAUGUUAUUUUGGAAUCUGACAUGCUAAUAAGUGAACAUUGCUUAGCAGGAGAAUCUCACUAUGAAAGGUAGAUUUAACACUUUUGCAAAAAAGGUUACUGAAAGUUGUAUGCUUUCAGAGCACACGGCAUUGGUGAAAUAUUCCCCUAUGCUUAGUCCAUGGAAAUGAAAAGAGCUGAAAAUAUAUCACACUUUGUAGGCUUGUCCAAAUUUUCUUCGUGUGUCUCUGCUGCACCACAUUGCAUAUAAGAGAAAUUCCCAGAGGAUUAUGCCUAUCUGUGACCUACGUUCAGCUACCUUAAGGUAGAUCCAGUGCACCGUCUUUAGAACUUCAAUACUCGUGAAAAUAUGUUAUUGAUACACUGCUUACUAGGACUCAUGGCUUAGUUGUGUUUUGGAUGUGUUGUGGAUCCACUUUUUGAUAGGGUGGCAUUGCGGAGGAAACAGGAAAUACCAGUGCCUUGUGCUUCCUUUUCCUGCAUUAUGAAAAGUCCUUGUUCGAACUGUGUCUUGGUUGUCUGUGUCUGCCAUCACUUCAGAUGGCAGGUGUGGGUGGGUGUCUCACAUCACUGAAUGCUCCUCUGUACAGAAAAAUCAUAGAAAACUAGGUAUCUUUGACGUACUAGUUUUCUUUGUGCCCAGAAAGUCAGUGUUCAGUCAUGUGAGGUCCUAUUUGCAAUCUGACAUGGUACAACCCAACACAAGUUUACCAUCUCGGGUAAGAACACGCCUAAGUUUCAUCCAAAAUACAACUCUUUAGUUGGGAGAUGUGUGAAUUCCUUCUUGUUGUUGUUGUUGUCGUUGUCAUCAUCAUCAUCAUCAUCAUCAUCUCUAUACCGCCCAAUAGCCAGAGCUCUCUGGUUAAUUUACAAAUGAUGAAAAUCGUAAAAGUACAGUUUAAAACACAAUAUAAAAGCUAGCUACAUACCUAUAAAAACAAUCAACAAUAAGGUGAUGGAGCAGUUUGCAUCUCUCUUGGGCUGGAUGAGUUUCAGAUGUUCUGUUCCACAUCUCAGCAGCCAAAAUCACUCUAAGAAAUGCCAAGGUCAGCCACAUUUCUCUGGGAAGCUACCUGCUGCUCUCCCAAGGCAUGGUUUGAAGGCACAUGAGGCAGCCACCUUGCUGGAGCUAAGUGCUUCGAAGGGAGGCUACCUGAGAACAACACGCAGCCGGCCUGAGUCCCAAGAUGGAAGAAAGGUGGGAUAUAAAUGUAAUACUAAAUAAAUAACUGGGAUCUUUAAAUGGUGUAGACACUGUAGUACAGCCUUCCCCAACUUGGUGCCUUCCAGAUGUUUUGGAUUACAACGCUUAGAAUUUUUGGCCAUUCCCUAUUCUGGACGUGUAGAUCCUAAAAGCUUGUUUCCCAGAAAUAGAACUGAAAGUUAGAAGGAAGCUUCUGUUUGUUCCUUUCUAGAAUCUUAUUUCCAAAGAGGAGCAGUUUUUCAAGGGCCAUUCGUAACUUGUCCUUUCCUGGCACAAGCUUGCUUAAAUAAUGUGGCUUUUCUUAUUAAUGCAUUCUCCGCUGGCUUCUGGUUCAUUUCCAAGCUCAGUUCAAGGUGCUAGUUAUCGCCUGGGUACCUGCAGGACGGCUUCCUUCCAUCUUGUAUUGCCUUCCCGUUGAGUGUCCUGUCUUUUAGGAGGCUCUGCUCUCCACCCCAACGUUGUCUAAGGUUUGGUUGGUGGGGAUGUCGGACAGAGUCUUGAACUCCCUUCCUUGGGAGGUGCAUUUGACUCCUUCCCUUCCCUUUCUGAGGGAUGAUUAAGACCUUUCUUUUCCAUUGGCCUUUUUAGCGUUACUGUGUUUUUUGUAGGGAUGUCUGAGGAAUUCAAUAUCAGUGAAUUCCAACAAGACUCGAUUUUAUUCACACUGCAUUUCCCCAGACUAAGGUGUGGAUCAAAUAUUCUUCAGAUUUUGCAUUUCUCUAAAACA